rnacentral:rRNA from 1 species
AUUGAACGCUGGCGGCAGGCCUAACACAUGCAAGUCGAGCGGAUGAAGGGAGCUUGCUCCUGGAUUCAGCGGCGGACGGGUGAGUAAUGCCUAGGAAUCUGCCUGGUAGUGGGGGAUAACGUCCGGAAACGGGCGCUAAUACCGCAUACGUCCUGAGGGAGAAAGUGGGGGAUCUUCGGACAUCACGCUAUCAGAUGAGCCUAGGUCAGAUUAGCUAGUUGGUGGGGUAAAGGCCUACCAAGGCGACGAUCCGUAACUGGUCUGAGAGGAUGAUCAGUCACACUGGAACUGAGACACGGUCCAGACUCCUACGGGAGGCAGCAGUGGGGAAUAUUGGACAAUGGGCGAAAGCCUGAUCCAGCCAUGCCGCGUGUGUGAAGAAGGUCUUCGGAUUGUAAAGCACUUUAAGUUGGGAGGAAGGGCAGUAAGUUAAUACCUUGCUGUUUUGACGUUACCAACAGAAUAAGCCCCGGCUAACUUCGUG